AGGACGAACGCUGGCGGCGUGCUUAACACAUGCAAGUCGAGCGGAAAGGCCCUUCGGGGUACUCGAGCGGCGAACGGGUGAGUAACACGUGAGCAACCUGCCCCUGGCUCUGGGAUAGCCUCCGGAAACGGGGAUUAAUACCGGACAUUCUCCGCCUUCCGCAUGGUUGGCGGUGGAAAGUUUUUUCGGCCGGGGAGGGGCUCGCGGCCUAUCAGGCUUGUUGGCGGGGUAACGGCCCACCAAGGCGACGACGGGUAGCC
rnacentral:rRNA from 1 species